rnacentral:lncRNA from 1 species
UUUUCUUUUUUUUUUUUUUUUUUUUGAGAUAGGGUUUCUCAGUGUAGCCCUGGGUGUCCUGGAACUCACUCUGUAUACCAGGCUGGCCUUGAACUCAGAAAUCCGCCUGCCUCUGCCUCCUCCCAAGUGCUGGGAUUAAAGGUGUGUGCCACCAUCACCCGGCUGUGGUGAUAUUUUCUAAUUCCAUUCAUUUGCCUGCAAAACUCAUAAUGUCCUCAUUCUUAAUAGAUGAGUAGAAUUCCCUAGUGUAAAUGAACUGUUUUCAGUAUCCAUUCUUCGGGUGAGGGACAUCUUGGGUGUUUUCAGCUUCUGCCUAAUAUAAAUAAGGCUGCUAUGAACAUAAUGGAGCACAUCUCCUUGUGGUAUGGUAGAACAUCUUUUGGGUAUGUGUCCAAGAAUGGUAUAGCUGGGUUUUCAGGUGUAUCGAUUUCCAAUUUUCUGAGGAACCUCCCGAUUGAUUUCCAGAUCAUCAGCUGUACCAGUUGUACCAGUUGUACAACUGGUUGUACCAGUUUGCAAUUCCACCAGCCAUGGAAGAGUGUUCCUUUCUCCAUAUCCGUGACAGCAUGUGCUGUCACCAGAGGUUUUAAUCUUCGCCAUCCUGAUUGGUGUAGGGUAUUCUCAGGGUUAUUUUGAUUUACAUUUCCCUGAUGACUAAAGACUUUGAACAUUUCUUUUAGUGCUUCUUGACCAUUUGAGAUUCCUUUGUUGUGAAAUCUCUGUUUAGCUGUGUAUCCCAUUUUUAAAUUGGGUUGCUUGGUUAUUUGGAAGUUAGUUUUUUGAGUUCUUUAUAUAUUUUGGAUAUUAGCCCUCUAUUGGAUGUGGGGUUAGUGAAGAUUUUUUUUCCCCAAUCUGUAUAUUGGUGAUUUGUCCUAUUGACACUGUCUUUUGCCUUAAAGAAUCUUUUCACAAUUGCUCUGUAGUACAGCUUGAGGUCAGGCAUGGUGAUUCCACCAGAGGUUUUUUUAUUGUUGAGAAUAGUUUUUGCUAUCCUAGGUUUUUUGUUAUUCCAGAUGAAUUUGCAAAUUGCCCUUUCUAACUCUGUGAAGAAUUGAGUUGGGAUUUUGAUGGGGAUUGCAUUGAAUCUGUAGAUUGCUUUCAGCAAGAUAGCCAUUUUUACUAUAUUAAUCCUGCCAAUCCAUGAGAAUGGGAGAUCUUUCCAUCUUCUGAGAUCUUCGAUUUCUUUCUUCAGAGACUUGAAGUUCUUAUCAUACAGAUCUUUCACUUCCUUAGAGUCACACCAAAGUGUUUUAUAUUGUUUGUGGCUAUUGUGAAGGGUGUUGUUUCCCUAAUUUCUUUUUUGGCCUGUUUAUCCUUUGUGUAGUUUUGAAAGGCUACUGAUUUGUUUGAGUCAAUUUUAUAUCCAGCUACUGCACUGCAUGGUCCUGGUACAGUGACAGACAGGUCGAUCAGUGGAAUAGAAUUGAAGACCCAGAAAUGGACCCACACACCUAUGGUCACUUGCUCUUUGACAAGGGAGCUAAAGCCAUCCAGUGAAAAUAAGACAGCAUUUUCAACAAAUGGUGCUGGCAGAACUGGCGGUUAUCAUGUAGAAGAAUGCAAAUUGACCCAUUCCUAUCUCCUUGUACAAAGCUCAAGUCUAAGUGGGUCAAAGAACUCCACAUAAAACCUGAGACCCUGAAACUUUUAGAGGAGAAAGUGGGGAAAAGCCUCAAAGAUAUGGGCAUAGGGGAAAAAUUCCUGAACAGAACAGCAGUGGCUUGUGCUGUAAAAUCAAGAAUAGACAAAUGGGACCUCAUAAAAUUGCAAAGCUUCUGUACGGCAAAAGACAUUGUCAAUAAGACAAAAUGGCUACCAUCUGACUGAGAAAAAAUCUUUGAAAAUUGCUUUUUCCUAAAUCUGUGAAGAAUUGAACUGGAAUUUAAUGGGGAUUGCAUUGAAUCUGUAGAUUGCUUUCAGCAAGAUGGCCAUUUUUACUAUAUUAAUCCCGUCAACCAUGAGCAUGGGAGAUCUUUCCAUACUCUGAGAUCUUCUUUGAUUUCUUUCUUCAUAGUCUUGAAGUUCUUGUCAUACAGAUGUUUCACUUGCUUUAUUAGAGACACACUAAAGUAUUUUAUAUUAUUUGUAACUAUUGUGAAUGGUGUCAUUUCCCUAAUUUCUUUCGCAGCUUGUUUAUCCUUUGAGUAGAGGAAGGCUACUAAUUUGCUUGAGUUAAUUUUAUAUCUAUUGAGUUAAUUUUAUAAUACUUUGCUGAAGUUGUUUAUCAGGUUUAGGUGUUCUCUGAUGGAAUUUUUGAAGUCACUUAAGUAUACUGUCAUAUUAUCUGCAAAUAGUGAUAUUUUCUUCCUUUCCAAUUUGUAUCUGUUUGACCUCCUUUUGUUGUCCGAUUGCUCUAGCUAGGACUUUGAGUACUAUAUUGAAUAGGCCGGGAGAAACUAGGCAGCCUUGUGUAGUCCCUGAUUUUAGUGAGAUUGCUUCAAGUUUCUCUCCAUUUAGUUUGAUGUUGGCUACUGGUUUCCAGUAUAUUGCUUUUAUUAUGUUUAGGUAUGGGCCUUGAAUUCCUGAUCUUUCCAAGACUUUUUCAAUGAAGGGGUGUUGAAUUUUUUCAAGUGCUGUCUCAGUAUCUAACGAGUUGAUCACGUUUUUUGUUUUUUGUUUUGAGUUUAUGUGCAUAGUGGAUUGUCGGACCAUGAAAGGCAGCUUGUUUUGCUUGAGCAAGGCUUUCUCCAGAGACCCAGUAGAAAACUCUACAAGGGAUGGAAAGUGAGCCACAUUCCCAGAGACAGGUGCCUGACACCACAGAGCCCCCAACUCCCUAAUUCUGUGACUCAGUCACGCAGACAAAGCUCCUGGCAUUCUAGCUAGAGUCUACCCUCACAGUUACCUGACAGUAGCUAUGUAUGCUCCUCCCCACAGCUACCCUGCAACUACAAGAUAGCCCAGCCCACUAUAAAAGUGACUGCUUGGCCCCUCCCCUCUCUCUUUAGCUCUCACCUUUCUUACUCUCAUCUCUAGCUCCCUUUCCCCCCCUCCUUUACCUUUUCUCUCCACAUGGCCAUUGCGGGCCUCUCUCUCUUUUUCCUUCUCUAUUUCUCUGUGCCUUUCUACAAUAAAGCUCUAAAACCAUAGACCAUCUCUGUUCAUCAAGGCCCGCUAUGCUUGAAUGAUGGAAUAGGCUUUCCCCUAAAGAGCCGUGUCUAUCCUCCCACUGGAAGGCUUUCCUGCACUCCAGCCAUAGACAGGACCAAGGACUCUUGCCCACGUGGAAACCACACAGUGCCCCUUCUCUUCCUGCCCUCUCCUCUCUUCCUGCCCUCUCCUCUCUUCGGCUCUCGUGAUGACUGAGCUGCCCCUGGGCCUCCACUUUGUUCUCAGCUCUUCUAUGAUGUCCAGCAGCAUCUGGGAUGCCCGAGACUAAGAACCUGUUAUCUCUGGUCUCCAUGAGGCCCAGAGACCUUGGACUGCCCCUUGUCCACCCCAGGCGUGCUAUGGUCCAUGGCUUCCCACAGCUAACCACCCACUGGGCUGAGUGGAGAGCGUGCAGCCCACCAAGAGAACUGGAACUCUGGCAGGGUAUCCCCAGGGAUCCCAGUUACUUCCAGUGUUGGGGCAGAUGUUCUGGCCACCACCCUUAUGAUCCAGGGAAUUUUAGAGUAUCUGGGAGUCCAGGUUCUUCUGGGUGUUGUGGGAUUGAGUGCAGAGAUAGUGCCCAAGGUCUGCUCAGGGCACUGGCUCAGACCAGAAGGGGUGCUACUUAUUUUUAUCUUCGGAAUACUUAAUAUGUUAUGGGUUUCUUGAGUUUUUGUUGGUUUGGGGACUUUCUGUGGACAGCUUUAGUUUUCUCUUCUUGAUCCUAAAGCCUCACGUCUGUGUGUUUAUUGGCAAAUCUAUCCUUUCCAGUUGUAAUCAUCAAUGUUUGGGACUUUGUUACAGUGAUUAGUGUGGGUAACAUGUUGGUUUAGAGUUAUUAAAACUUUCUCAUAUUAUUUUCUGUGUUUCAUAAUUAGCUUCAGUUUUCAACAUUUCAGAGCAUAUAAUCACCUCGAGGGAACCUCAAUUGAGUAUGUGCCCUAUAAACAUAGCUGGUUGGUAUGUCUGAUGUUUGAAGGCACUUCUACUGAGGGUGGCAUUCUCCCUAAGCAAGUGUGCCUGAGCAGGAUAAGAGAGCUAAUUAGCUGAGCAAGGGAUAGUGACCAAACAAGAGAGCAAUCCAGGAACAAUGUUUCCCCAUGUAGUUUUUCUUUUGCCUGUAUUUUCUAUCUACAGUUUCUGUCUUAAGGACUGAAAUGAUAGACUGUGAUUGGACAGAUACAUCAAGAAAAUCCAUUUGUUAUUCAUGUAACGAGUUAGAACAAAAAAAAAUGGU